rnacentral:lncRNA from 1 species
CUUCUUAACCAAAAGCAUAAUAGUAGUGCAGACUGAAGGAGAAGAAAUCUGAAUAUAAUCAAUCAAUCAAUAUUUUCUACUUAUUUAUGAAAGAAACUUACCUUCUUAACCAAAAGCAUAAUAGUAGUGCAGACUGAAGGAGAAGAAAUCUGAAUAUAAUCAAUCAAUCAAUAUUUUCUACUUAUUUAUGAAUGAAAUAUUCUAGUGUCUAAAAACGAACACAAAAACUUGGAUAACAAUAAACUGCAAUAGGGUUUGCAGUAAGGAAAACCCUACUCUGACCCCAUUUUGAGGGAAGUAGAAGAGGAGUCAGAUGAUGGAUAAAUAUCAAGGGCUUCAUAGGGAUAUACAAGUGGAGGGUCAAUAAAACCAAAAGAUGGAGGAGGUUGCUGCAGGUC